rnacentral:rRNA from 1 species
ACGCUGGCGGCAGGCCUAACACAUGCAAGCUCCGAACGGUAACAGGAAGACAGCUUGCUUGUCUUUCGCUGACGAGUGGCGGACGGGUGAGUAAUGUCUGGGAAACUGCCUGAUGGAGGGGGAUAACUACUGGAAACGGUAGCUAAUACCGCAUAACGUCGCAAGACCAAAGAGGGGGACCUUCGGGCCUCUUGCCAUCGGAUGUGCCCAGAUGGGAUUAGCUAUGUAUGGUGGGGUAACGGCUCACCUAGGCGACGAUCCCUAGCUGGUCUGAGAGGAUGACCAGCCACACUGGAACUGAGACACGGUCCAGACUCCUACGGGAGGCAGC